rnacentral:rRNA from 1 species
AGCUUGCUCCUUGGGUGACGAGUGGCGGACGGGUGAGUAAUGUCUGGGAAACUGCCCGAUGGAGGGGGAUAACUACUGGAAACGGUAGCUAAUACCGCAUAACGUCGCAAGACCAAAGAGGGGGACCUUCGGGCCUCUUGCCAUCGGAUGUGCCCAGAUGGGAUUAGCUAGUAGGUGGGGUAACGGCUCACCUAGGCGACGAUCCCUAGCUGGUCUGAGAGGAUGACCAGCCACACUGGAACUGAGACACGGUCCAGACUCCUACGGGAGGCAGCAGUGGGGAAUAUUGCACAAUGGGCGCAAGCCUGAUGCAGCCAUGCCGCGUGUAUGAAGAAGGCCUUCGGGUUGUAAAGUACUUUCAGCGAGGAGGAAGGCGUUGUGGUUAAUAACCGCAA